rnacentral:rRNA from 1 species
AACGUACGCUGGCGGCACGCCUAACACAUGCAAGUCGAACGAAGUAGCAAUACUUAGUGGCAGACGGGUGAGUAACAUGUAGGUAUCUGCCCUUUGGCCUGGAAUAACACGAGGAAACUUGUGCUAAUACCGGAUAAGUCUUUACGGAGAAAGCUUUAUGCACCAUUGGAUGAGCCUGCACUUGAUUAGUUUGUUGGUGGGGUAAUGGCCUACCAAGACUGUGAUCAAUAGCUGAUUUGAGAGGAUGAUCAGCCACAUUGGGACUGAGACACGGCCCAAACUCCUACGGGAGGCAGCAGUGGGGAAUCUUGCACAAUGGAGGAAACUCUGAUGCAGCGAUGCCGCGUGAGUGAAGAAGGCCCUUGGGUUGUAAAGCUCUUUCGUCGGGGAAGAAAAUGACUGUACCCGAAUAAGAAGGUCCGGCUAACUUCGUGCCAGCAGCCGCGGUAAUACGAAGGGACCUAGCGUAGUUCGGAAUUACUGGGCUUAAAGAGUUCGUAGGUGGUUGAAAAAGUUAGUGGUGAAAUCCCAGAGCUUAACUCUGGAACUGCCAUUAAAACUUUUCAGCUAGAGUAUGAUAGAGGAAAGCAGAAUUUCUAGUGUAGAGGUGAAAUUCGUAGAUAUUAGAAAGAAUACCAAUUGCGAAGGCAGCUUUCUGGAUCAUUACUGACACUGAGGAACGAAAGCAUGGGUAGCGAAGAGGAUUAGAUACCCUCGUAGUCCAUGCCGUAAACGAUGUGUGUUAGACGUUGGAAAUUUAUUUUCAGUGUCGCAGGGAAACCGAUAAACACACCGCCUGGGGAGUACGACCGCAAGGUUAAAACUCAAAUGAAUUGACGGGGACCCGCACAAGUAGUGGAGCAUGUGGUUUAAUUCGAAGAUACGCGCAGAACCUUACCAACACUUGACAUGUUCGUCGCGACUCUAAGAGAUUAGAGUUUUCGGUUCGGCCGGACGAAACACAGGUGCUGCAUGGCUGUCGUCAGCUCGUGUCGUGAGAUGUUGGGUUAAGUCCCGCAACGAGCGCAACCCUCACUUUUAGUUGCCAUCAUUUAGUUGGGCACUCUGAAAGAACUGCCAGUGAUAAGCUGGAGGAAGGUGGGGAUGACGUCAAGUCCUCAUGGCCCUUACGUGUUGGGCUACACACGUGCUACAAUGGUAUCUACAACAGGAAGCAAGACUGCGAAGUUAAGCAAAUCCCUAAAAGAUACCUCAGUUCGGAUUGCACUCUGCAACUCGAGUGCAUGAAGCUGGAAUUACUAGUAAUCGUGGAUCAGCGUGCCACGGUGAAAUGCGUUCCCGGGUCU